UGAGUGCGAGCGGCUACGGCCACGAAGUGGGUGAUGUCAAGCUUCCAAGAAAAGCCCUAUACCCGUUAAGGCAUGAUGGCCUGUACCCGAAACCGACACAGGUGGGGUGGUAGAGAAUACCGAGGGGCGCGAGGUAACUCUCUCUAAGGAACUCGGCAAAAUGGCCCCGUAACUUCGGGAGAAGGGGUGCCACCGCAAGGUGGUCGCAGUGAAGAGGCCCAGGCGACUGUUUACCAAAAACACAGGUCUCCGCUAAGUCGCAAGACGAUGUAUGGGGGCUGACGCCUGCCCAGUGCCGGAAGGUUAAGGAAGCUGGUCAGCGCAAGCGAAGCUGGCGACUGAAGCCCCGGUGAACGGCGGCCGUAACGAUAACGGUCCUAAGGUAGCGAAAUUCCUUGUCGGGUAAGUUCCGACCCGCACGAAAGGCGUAACGAUCUGGGCGCUGUCUCGGAGAGAGGCUCGGCGAAAUAGAAUUGUCUGUGAAGAUGCGGACUACGUGCACCCGGACAGAAAGACCCUAUGAAGCUUUACUGUAGCUUGGUAUUGUGCCCGGGCUCUGAAUGCGCAGGAUAGGUGGGAGGCUUUGAUCCAUGGCUUGCGGGUCAUGGUGAGCCAACGGUGAGAUACCACUCUUUCAGAGCUAGGGUUCUAACGGUCACCCGUCAUCCGGGGACCGGACAGUAUCAGGUGGGCAGUUUGACUGGGGCGGUCGCCUCCUAAAAGGUAACGGAGGCGCGCAAAGGUUUGCUCAGGCUGGUUGGAAAUCAGCCGACGAGUGCAAAAGCAGAAGCAAGCUUGACUGUGAGACCUACAAGUCGAACAGGGACGAAAGUCGGCUCUAGUGAUCCGACGGUUCUGAGUGGAAGGGCCGUCGCUCAACGGAUAAAAGUUACUCUAAGGAUAACAGGCUGAUCUCCCCCAAGAGUUCACAUCGACGGGGAGGUUUGGCACCUCGAUGUCGGCUCAUCGCAACCUGGGGCUGAAGUCGGUCCCAAGGGUUGGGCUGUUCGCCCAUUAAAGCGGUACGCGAGCUGGGUUCAGAACGUCGUGAGACAGUUCGGUCCAUAUCCGGUGCACGCGCAGGAACAUUGAGAGGAUUUCUCCCUAGUACGAGAGGACCGGGAGGAACGCACCUCUGGUGUGCCAGUUAUCGUGCCAACGGUAAACGCUGGGUAGCCAUGUGCGGAGUGGAUAACCGCUGAAAGCAUCUAACUGGGAAGCCCACCUCAAGAUGAGUGUUCCCAUGGCAUAAGCCAGUAAGGUCACGGGAAGAACACCCGUUGAUAGGCUCUACGUGGAAGCCGGGUAACCGGUGAAGCGGAGGAGUACUAAUAGACCGAGGGCUUGAC
rnacentral:rRNA from 1 species